CAUUUUGUCUCUGAGGCGACCGCGGGAGGUUUUUAGGCUGCAAAAUGGUGCCUCUGCGGAAGCCGUUGAACCGUCACUGGGGGUCCCCACAGCCCUUGACGAGGGUUGGGGCAGCAGAAGAAGAAAACGUUGCGGGAUGAGGCGACUCAAAGUCACCCCCAGACCACCAUGAAUUAACCCCAAAAUGACCUAAACCCCCUCUGGGACCUCUCCCACAGGUCAGUGCCCCCCCAAAACCCCUCUAAGACCCCCCAAAUCCCCUCUAAGACCCCCCAAAACCCCCCCAAUCCGAAGCGAUGACACCCCGGGCUGGAGGAUGCGUCCGAUGGCAGCUCCGAGUUACCAAAGCCCUGAUCGGAUUUGGGGA